rnacentral:rRNA from 1 species
UACGGAGGAUGCGAGCGUUAUCCGGAUUUAUUGGGUUUAAAGGGUGCGUAGGCGGCCUUAUAAGUCAGCGGUGAAAUUUUGCAGCUUAACUGUAAAAGUGCCGUUGAUACUGUGAGGCUAGGAUUUGGUUGCUGUGGGUGGAAUGUGUGGUGUAGCGGUGAAAUGCUUAGAGAUCACACAGAAUAUCGAUUGCGAAGGCAGCUCACAAAGCCAAGAUUGACGCUGAGGCACGAAAGUGUGGGGAUCAAACAGGA